AUUAGUGGCGAACGGGUGAGUAACACGUGGGCAAUCUGCCCUGCACUCUGGGACAAGCCCUGGAAACGGGGUCUAAUACCGGAUACUGAUCCUCGCAGGCAUCUGCGAGGUUCGAAAGCUCCGGCGGUGCAGGAUGAGCCCGCGGCCUAUCAGCUAGUUGGUGAGGUAACGGCUCACCAAGGCGACGACGGGUAGCCGGCCUGAGAGGGCGACCGGCCACACUGGGACUGAGACACGGCCCAGACUCCUACGGGAGGCAGCAGUGGGGAAUAUUGCACAAUGGGCGAAAGCCUGAUGCAGCGACGCCGCGUGAGGGAUGACGGCCUUCGGGUUGUAAACCUCUUUCAGCAGGGAAGAAGCGAAAGUGACGGUACCUGCAGAAGAAGCGCCGGCUAACUACGUGCCAGCAGCCGCGGUAAUACGUAGGGCGCAAGCGUUGUCCGGAAUUAUUGGGCGUAAAGAGCUCGUAGGCGGCUUGUCACGUCGGUUGUGAAAGCCCGGGGCUUAACCCCGGGUCUGCAGUCGAUACGGGCAGGCUAGAGUUCGGUAGGGGAGAUCGGAAUUCCUGGUGUAGCGGUGAAAUGCGCAGAUAUCAGGAGGAACACCGGUGGCGAAGGCGGAUCUCUGGGCCGAUACUGA
rnacentral:rRNA from 2 species